CUUGCUUUUGUAUGUAUAAUUGUAACACUGUCAGUGGUGAAGCUAGCCAAAGCAAACAGGUCAUGCUAUGCAAGUUUUUAAUGAUUUGCAUUAUUCAAAUAGAUGUAGGUUUAUUGGGGUGGCAUGACCGGUUGCCAUGGUAGCUAGCUUGCCACUGAAUACUGUACAAAAUCAUAUUAUAUAUAAACGAUAAUAAUAUUUGAAUGAAUCAUUGGACAUAUAGAAUUUAAUAACAAUUUCAUAUAUAGAAAUAUUAAGUCAGUUCUUGUCUGAAGUAUUGUUUUAAUACAAUAAUGGCACCUUCUAGGAUACCCUCUAUUGCAAAACAACUGAAAAAUCUUCUGAUGCCUGAUGGAGAGACAAAAUCUAUU